rnacentral:rRNA from 1 species
UACGGAGGGUGCAAGCGUUGUCCGGAAUCAUUGGGCGUAAAGGGCGCGUAGGUGGCCCGGUCAGUUCGUGGUGAAAGUCCGGGGCUCAACCUCGGAUCGGCCGUGGCGACUCGUGGGCUGGAGCACUGUAGAGGCGGGUGGAAUUCCGGGUGUAGCGGUGGAAUGCGUAGAGAUCCGGAAGAACACCAGUGGCGAAGGCGGCCCGCUGGGCAGUGGCUGACGCUGAAGCGCGACAGCGUGGGGAGCAAACAGG